rnacentral:rRNA from 1 species
CCCCUAGAUGUUCUGGGCCGCACGCGCGCUACACUGAACAGUUCAACAAGUCUUAACCUUGGCCGAUAGGUCUGGGUAAUCUUUGAACGCUGUUCGUGAUUGGGAUAGACCUUUGCAAUUAUGGGUCUUCAACGAGGAAUUCCUAGUAAACGCAAGUCAUCAGCUUGCAUUGAUUACGUCCCUGCCCUUUGUACACACCGCCCGUCGCACCUACCGAUUGAAUGGUCCGGUGAAAUCUCGGGACGGCGGCUCGGUCGCUUGCGUCCGACUGCUGAAACUUGAUUAAACCAUAUCAUUUAGAGGAAGGUGAAGUCGUNACA